CGCCAUCUUUUGGUGUAGGGGACAACGUUCCAACCCACUGAGCAGCCCAGCCAGGGUGUGUGGUAUUUUCUUAUUAACUUUACAUUAAACUUUUGUCACGGGUCCUGUAGGGCUAUAAUUCUGUAAGGGGGUUCCAGAGUCUCUGGAUGACACUAACUAGGCCCUUGUUUGCUGGAAAUCAUGGGGAAGCACUGACCAAGCCUUUUGUGUAGCCCGUGUGCUCUGGCGCCUUGUCCUCAUCCUUACCACAUACCAAGGACCACACCUCAAAUCACACCCCAAGCCAUUAGGAUACCUGUAUAUGGAGUGCAUGUGGCCAGGAAAGUGACUUGGAGAAUGGGCACGUGGGAGUGAUGGAGCAAGAGAGGAAGGGUGCUUGGUGCUGCCAGCCUGGUUGCUCCUGCUAGCUCUUCCUUGGUGGUUGCACACCCUCAUUUUGGGAAUGUGAGUCACAGGUCUAACCUUGUGUCUGGGAUCACUGUCUUGAGGAAAUGCAGACUCCAUAUAUACAGCAGGACUUGUGCCCUCCUGAGUGGCUGGUUUGGCUCCAGGGGCCAGAGUCACGGUCAUGGCUGCUUGUAGCAAGGAAUUUUCUGCGGCCGCACCAGACUCGACAUGGUCUUGUCACGCCCUGUGCUGCAGGAUCUGCUUGCACAGGCAGCUGUUGAGUUCUGAGCAAGUUGGUUCCUGCUGAGCCCAACAUGAAAUGUCCAUGACACCUUAUAAAGAGGUGCCAAGUGUCCUAUACACUAGGAAAGCCACACCCCAAACUGGGUAUACACAUCAAAGCACAUUACACUAUGCUUACAUAUACAUUAUAUUGUGAUCAGUAAACUAGAAAAUUCUCGUUUUGAGUUCAGCUUUUAGAGUACCUGUUGGCUGAAACAAACCUGGCUUUGUGUGUAUCUUGGUAAAGUAGCACCUGGCUUUCAUGCUUCAUCCCCUCACCCCAUGUUCUGAAGGGUCCCUGGUCUCAGUCUAACAUUGGAAAGAACUCAGUCUUACUUUGCUCGCCAGGAAGAACCUGGGGGACUAAAGAACCUUGUAACCAUUUCCUCGCUUUUCUCUCACUUUCUGGUCAGAGCCCAGCUUCCCCUGCAGAGUGCCCGGGGAUGUCCUGUCGUUCAGUCCUUCCUUCUCCACCCCUCUGUCCCCAGGAUCCCAGGCUUCCACUGAUAAUAGAAGAGCCCCAUUGCAGAUUGCUGCCUGAGUCUCUGUCAACAAGUCCUGUUUGGCAGAGUGGACCACAUACAUGAUAAAACACAAGCUCUUCUGAUAUUCUCUUCAUGGCAUAAUGAUGUUUCUAAUGCUAAGAGGUCCCCUACUGCAGCGUGCUGGCCCAGCCCUGAGGAGAGCAUUGGCAGCUGGAGCUGGGAACCAGACCUUCCACCCUCUGUUCAAGUCCUGCCUUCUUUGCUGCCCCUACAAGGAGUCCCAGAGACUCAAGGCCCACCCCCACCUGGGUUUCAUUUCUACAUGACUCCCAGCCAACAAACUCUCUGACCCAACAGAUGCAAUAACACGGCUCAGGGUGAGGCCCUUCCACAAGUGCUGAAUUUGGCCAGAGCUUCUCUUUGGCCCCAGUUGGGGGUGAGGGUGAAGGGUACAUGACUCUCCCACUCUUCCCAUUCCUCCCCCCAC